UACGUAGGGCGCAAGCGUUAUCCGGAUUUAUUGGGUUUAAAGGGUGCGUAGGUGGCCUGUUAAGUCAGGGGUGAAAGACGGUAGCUCAACUAUCGCAGUGCCCUUGAUACUGAUGGGCUUGAAUGAACUAGAGGUAGGCGGAAUGUGACAAGUAGCGGUGAAAUGCAUAGAUAUGUCACAGAACACCAAUUGCGAAGGCAGCUUACUAUGGUUUUAUUGACACUGAGGCACGAAAGCGUGGGGAUCAAACAGG
rnacentral:rRNA from 1 species